CUGGCUUUCACAAAAUAACUUCUGAGGGGGUGGAGAAGUGAGAACCAUAUUACUGAGUGUCCCUUUUGUGAGUGCCUUCUAUAGAGGUCCUUGUGACAAGAAGAUGAAAGUCACUUCCAACCUGUGCCCAAAUGGACCUGUCAGCAAAUGGAGCAAAUGGCAACAAUCGAAAACUGCCUACACAAUGGUCUUGGAAAUGGGAUUCUUCUUCAGUCACGUCUAAAGGAGGCCUGGAAGGAUAGCUCUGUGGCUGAAAGUGCUUGAAGAUCUGAGUUCCGAUUCCAGUGCCAAUAUAUCAAGGGAAACAAACCCCCAACACAUUUGGAGAGAAGCUUUGGUCUUAGGACUAUGCCUCUGGCUGUAAAUUGCCUUUGAGCCUAAUGGAACAUCUCGGGCCUUUUCUUCAGAAGUGUUUUGAAAUUGUUGACAUCCCUGCUUGGGGACGUCUGUACAGGGACAAACUGCUCUUUCAUCCGAACUGACUUGGCAUUGAAGCUUGGCCUGUCCGUCCCUGGGGCUGUCCAGAACUCUCCCAGACUUGCUGUUUGUAACCUCUUCCUUGUUAUCGUGUCCUAGAGCUCCUUUGAGACAGAAGUCUGCCAUUGGAGCUCUGUUGAUCUGCACUCAAUGGUUGACAUGAUAACUUGUGCCAAUCUCAUGCAGCUCGGGAGCUUAAGUGUGCAAGAAAAACAACUUACGGAGUUUUGAAAUUCACUCUAACUCCUGCUUCAGGAAGGUGAGAAGGUUUAAUCUCAGAUAAUAUGAAGUAUCUUCCAAUGCUGGGACUGUUUUUAAAUUUUAGGAGCACACUCCUGUUAUAGGGGCAUGGGAGAAGAUAUCUGCCCCUCCCAUUUGAUCCUCCCUCAUUGGCCUAAACACGGCACCACAGACUUCCUUGUUCCUCUCCGUAUAACUCCUACAUG